ACUCAGCAAACGCCCGGCUUCAAGAGGCCUCAGAGAGCCAGGGGAGCGAGCUUCCAGCCUGAAGAACAAGCUGUUGUUGCUGUUUAUCAAGGGAGAGCAGAUACAUCAGUGUCUUCUGACAGAAAAAGUGAUCGCCAUCAGGAUGGUGAUGACCACGAUGAUCCCUAGGAUGACGAGCAGGAUGCGGUUCUGGAUGAUUCUAGGAGACAGCAAAGGAGAAAAAACACACACAGAUAAGUGGAAGGCCUUCCCACAAACGCCGUCCGAGGCCAGGUUGGCUAAUCAAACGGCAGCUUUGCAGGUGGGGGUGGGGAGCGUGUGUGUGUGUGUGUGUGUGUGUGUGUGUGUGCGCGCGCGAAAGAGACAUCACGCAGCUUUCUGGUUCUACAAACGAUCCACGAGGAAACGAAAGGCUCCACAUGAUUGUCACGCUGCCCUCCGAGAAAUGCUUACUGCAAAGCUAAGGCGAAUCAAAUGGCUUUCGAGGCUCAGAAAAUCAUGUAGCCUCUUUAAGUGAUCAAGGGCCCCUUGCGAGCUUCUCUUUCUAAUUUAAAAGGCGAGACAAGCCUCAUUUUUUGCAGUGUUUCCUGUUAAAGUAAAAUACUCCAAGGAAACACAUGUCAGCAAUGUACUUACCUGCACAAAAAUACCUGGGGAAAAGUAAAACAGAGACUAAGGAAGAAAAGGAUGGGAUUAAGAAACAAGUGUCAAAUGUGCAGCUUAGGCUGUGAAACCAUCAUCUGUCAGUGUGGCUCACGCUCCGUUACGCUAGGAGGAAACGUUACAUUUGCUCCAUAGCAAAAAAGAUGGAAAUGAGAAAUAUACAAUGUACUCAAGGUGCCUGUUGUGCGUCUGUUGCUGGGCCUUUACCUCCAGGGAUUCUACCUCCCUGGGUUCUGGCUGGGCUGCACGCUGAUGGGGAACCAGCAACUUAGAAGGGGGACCAGAGUGGAGACACACGCUCCCAGAUGCCUGCAGAGAGCUUCUGAUGAGGUUGUUUCAUAAUUUGUUACCUCAUUCGGAGAAAAGAGGUCGAACAUCAGAAUGCUUUGUUGAGAGUUUCAAAGGGAACCUAGGUCAAACAGCCGUGCCCACGCUCGCUCUCACAGAGCUGCACGGAAAUAGAGACAUGAGCUGGCUGGCAGUCUAGCCAGCUAUCUGUCCAGCUUAAAACCCCACGGCAAACCCCAUCCAACCCUCCUCCAAAUACCAAGCAGCAAAAGGCCUGCUGCCCUACUCCAGUCACCAAACACUGGACAUGGGUCUUCCAUGGGGAGGAGCUGGGGAGAUGAAGCUGGGCUCCCCACGGAACAGAGACCCCACACCCCUACUUUGUAUCUUCACACACAAAAAAAUCUUUGCAGGGUAUUUUCUACUUCCUAGAUGAGUUUAUUUCCUGGAAGGAUGACAUCAGGUUGUAGUUUUAGUCAGAUUCCUCCUCACCCAUCCCCUUCUUCUCCAAACCUAAACGGUUGAAUGGAAACUGUCUUAUCAGACCAACCCACUCCCUCGUGGCCCCCUAAAAGGACGAGCUCUCUCUCCUCCUGACAGGUAACAAAAUGAUCACAUUUGCUGACACGUCUUCCGCAAAACUGCCUUAGUGCCUCUGUCCACUCUCCUCGCAGGAGAUGAAUGGUCCACUUGGUCCUCAUUUAUCACUCAAGGCUUGGCUAAGAUCUGUCUCGUUUAGUUCUUCCCUUCCCCACUAGAAAGUCUGCACUCCGACAUUAAUUCUUCUGUGAUGACAGCUAAUUCAGACUUAACAGGCCACACUUACUCAAGAGGCAGGAAGAUUCUCUGUCCCCCAAAUAAAUAAAUAAAAACAGGACUUCAUGGCUUAUGAUAGUGAGGCUAAUUAUCAACACUGAUCGGUGCUACUUGGUGGCUCUGUUUAAAACCCAAAUUGAUUUUUUCCCCCUUUUCUCUGGGAGGGACAGGAGCCUUCAGAAUGGUCCCUACACAUCCCAUUUGCCCAAGUCACUGUCAAAAUCUCUAUUUACCACAGUCACCCGCAUCAGACUUGCAAAGGAAAUCAGCAAAAUUGAAACUCAGCAGUGAAACAGAUUAAAAGCAUGAAAACUCUUUAAAAUUCUGCCUUAAGUAAUCUACAGUAGUGUGUCUCUUGUACAGCUUGGUUGACAACCAUUUUAUUUGUGGGUUGAGGGCCCCAAGGCAUCCAUGAUGCUAAUUUAGAAAGGAUUAACUGUGGGUGUUACUUGUUCAAUCUGAGGCAUGGUAAGAAAUAUGAAUACACAGGAAUCCUUAAAUCCUCAGCUCUUCCCUAACCUUCCUAAUUGGGCUUCACCCCCUCCUUGGUGCACCCACAGGGCCUGGUGGCUUCCCCUCCACCGCCCGCUCUGUUGCUUCCAAGGGCCCAACCUGUGUGGACUGGGACCAUGUGGAAUUCACCUCUACCACCCCAGCACAUGGCACAGUCGCGUUGCACACAGGUACUCAAAAGAGAACUGCCCAAAGAGUGAUCGUGAAAGAAUGCAGUCUCUGGUAACUGUAAUCUUCCAUUCAAAGGAGAAUGGAGAAGUCUGUGCAAUUAAUUUGCAGGAAAAUCUCAGGAAGUCUGCAUGGAAAAGGUUAAAGUUCAAAGUUGAAGCAAGCCCCGUCAAAGAUGAAACUUCCUACCAUCACGCCUUCUCAGCACUACUUGGUCUUCCCCCUGAAGCUAGAAGGAACUCCUUUGUGCUGGGUGGGGGCGGGGUGUCAGCAGGAAAGGGCAUUUGCUUUCAAACCAAAUGCUGGCAGACAUUUGGGAGGAAGAGUAGAAGGGGAUGGGGAAAGAGUUGGAAUAGAGAGAGCUCUAAGCAAGCUUGACUGGCUGGGCCAUCCACCCCAACCUUGGACCUCAAAGGAGUUGUGCAAAUGUGAUACCCCUCAGGACCAGAAAAGUGAACUGUCAGGGCAUCUGGGUGGAUAGGACUGAGCCAGUUUGGAAGGGGGAAAUACAGGCUGGCAUUGGUGGGCCCCAUCUGUGAGGAAGCUUAGUUGCAAUCGCAGCCAGGGGCUGCCGGCCUGUAUUGCUGUAGGCAAAGCAGAAAGGAAUGCAGAGCUCGGAGACAAUCAGAAAAACCAGCUAGGCCAAGGGGUUCCCAGCUAGUGAGAUGGCAGCGAAGGAACUUGGGGAGAAGCCCAAAGUAACUUCCUCCUAACUUUGGGCAAGGGGAGGGCUUUAUGUUGAACUAGGUCUGCAGCAAGCCGUCUUAAUCUCCCUUUUGAAAAUGCAAAGUGUGUUUACCCAGUAAAUAAUUUAAGAAAGAAUAUACACUUGAAAGAAGACAUCCAUUGAAACAGCCAGGCUAAAUUGCCUCCAGGCAAAAACUUGUGCAUUUGCAUGCUGCAUUCUAUUAAGUGAGCACACUGUGGCUUUAAAAGAAUGCAGAGCCAAAAUAAAAGGAAUGUGGGCCCGAAACAUCAAGGAUUCUCCAAGUUUACAUUAUGAAUCACAGUGCUGUUGAUACAAGAUGAAUUAACCAUUUACUUUGAGGCUGAACUCACAAAGUACUAUUGAAAGUACUGAUCCCCAUGUGGAACUCAGGGAGCGGUUAAUCUUUCCAUUGCCAGUCUCCUCCCAGCCUGGAAACGAGCUCCUGCGUGUGGCAGCCGGAAUCACAGAAGGCUGGUUCCAGUGCAGGGGACAGGCGCGGCACUGCACCUGGCACAGUUCUCUGCUCUUGCUCGAGGAGCCCAGGAAUUCCACUGGAACAGGCAUUACGAGUGUUCUCCAAUAGCCAGUUCUCCUCUACUUCCAGGCAUGGACUGCACUCUUUUUUUUUUUUUUUUUUUUUUUUUUUUUGAGACGGAGUCUCGCUCUGUCGCCCAGGCUGGAGUGCAGUGGCGCAAUCUCGGCUCACUGCAAGCUCCGCCUCCCGGGCUCACGCCAUUCUCCCGCCUCAGCCUCCCGAGUAGCUGGGACUACAGGCGCCCGCCACCACGCCCGGCUAAUUUUUUUUGUAUUUUUAGUAGAGACGGGGUUUCACCGUGGUCUCUAUCUCCUGACCUCGUGAUCCGCCCGCCUCGGCCUCCCAAAGUGCUGGGAUUACAGGCGUGAGCCACCGCGCCCGGUCUGCACUCACCUUAAUGUUAGGCUUGGUCAUGGAACUAGCUUUGGCUAAAGAAAUGAGAGCAAAAGUUCUGAGUGUCACUGCCAGCUGGAGGCAUCUAACUUCCAGUGUUUGUCUCUCUAGCGGGCUCUUCCUGCGGUUUUGAUUUGGGGAGGGAGGGGCUGUAUUGUUCCAGAGAGUACAAGUUAUAGGAUGGUGGUAACAUCUUCUGCCUGGAUCCUGCAGUCAUUAUGUAAAGGGCCACUGUCCUGGAGAUGCACCUGGACUCCCAGUGGACUUGCGUUAAGCCAUUGAGGACUGGGGGUUGUCACUGCCGAAUACCAUAAGCUCUUUUACCCUGAGUGAUAACGCUACCGUCCGCCUCUCAGACAAGACGAGGCAUCUGGCCAAGCCAAGAGAGGCUCUGGUUUCAUGUAUUUCAGAAGCUAAGGUAUGAUGAAGACUGAUAAGAUUUUUUUUUUCUUGAAGAACAGGUUUUUGCCUCUUGGUUUUCAAAAGCUGGGAACCUCUUCUGACCUCUUGGUCACAACACUUUUCACUGAAGAAUCAGGAGCUUCUUCCAGCCAAUGCUCCUGUGUAUUGAUGACUGAUGAUAUCAUGCGUGAGGCCUCACCAGGCCUAGCCAGGCAUCCGCUUCCUGUGUACAGCAGAUCUACAGUGGCUGCGUUCGUUUCCCUAUUCCAAACAGCUGAUGCUACCCCAGCUCCAGGGGUACAGCUGUGACUGAGGCUGAGAUGGUCAGUACAUUCCAUGCCCCUGGCCAUGGUAACUGGACCAGGAGCAGGCUUGUGACUUAAGUCCAUCCAACAGAGUGGAUCUCAGCAACUUUGCUUGAAAUGCGGGGUCACCUGGACAGUUUGGUGUGUGGAUGUCAGGCUGGAUCCACUGCAGGCCUUUUGAUUCAUUGAGGGAAGCCAACCUAAGAAAGAAGCUGACCCACAGUGGGCAGAGAAAUAGAACCCCAGUCCUGAAGACAGAGAACUUUAAUUUUUAACUUUUUUUUUUUUUUUUUUUGAGAUGGAGUCAUUCUCUGUCUCCAGGCUGGAGUGCAGUGGUGCGAUCUCAGCUCACUACAACCUCCCCCUCCCAGGUUCAAGUGAUUCUCGUGCCUCAGCCUCCCAAGUACUUGGGAUUACAGGCACCUGCCACCAUGUCCAGCUAAUUUUUGUAUUUUUAGUAGAGAUGGGGUUUCACCGUGUUGGCCAACCUGGUUCCAAACUUCUGACCUCAGGUGAUCUGCCCAUCUUGGCCUCCCAAAGUGCUGGGAUUACAAGUGUGAGCCACCAUGCCAGGCCGACAGUGAACAUUUUUUUUUUUUUAAAUCAAACCACCCUUUCUUUGGACUUUAACUUAUAUGAGAAAAUAAACUGACUUUAUUUUCCAAAGUCAGUUUGAAUUGGGUUUUCUGUUAUUUAUGACCAAAAAGCAUUUUUAGGUUGAGUCACCCUGAUUCCAAAACCAGGUCCUUGAUCUACGGCAUAUGUGCAUUCUUCCCUCCUCUUCCAAGAGGCAUUUCCUGGCUAUGUCCCUCUCGUAUUCUCCUAUCUCCCUACACAUCUCUCUUUCCAGUACAUUGACUACAGUCCCCAGUAAAAAGUGGACCUUCCACAGUCCGAAUUUCUUUUGUCUUUUGUAUCCCUGAUGCCUAACACACAGCUUGGCAUAAAUGUUCUCAAAACAUGCUUGCUGAGUGAAGAAAUGAGAGACUCUACCUACACGUGCUCAGGGUCACGUGGUUAUUGCUCUCCUGGUUUCUAAGGACUGCUUGUAGAUAAGCACAGCUUUAGGACUUAGCUGUUAGCCACUGUCCCAUUAAGGAUGCCAGCGGAGUCCCAACUUUUUUACAAGCCUGUGUUCAUUAGCUGGAGAGUGGCAGACACUUUACAGGUUCAGAGCAGCAUCCUGUACCUGCCUUCCUGCCUGGCCGACUGGCCCUGAAUAACGAUGCCCCACUUUUGGGGUCUGACAGAACAGUAACAAUUAGCAACCGUGAGAGCAUAGGAUAAAUUCUGAGCAGAGGAACCCGGAUCUGCUUCUCUCUAGGCACUUCCCAAAACAUGGGCCAAGGGAAAGCUCUUUAAAUUCUAUAUCCAAUUCAACGUUACUAUUCACCAGAAAGAAAUGAAAACAGGAGUAGGAGAAACAGUUAAUUGUCAUCUGCCUCAAACACUCACUUUAAUUGGAAGGGUUAUUUUCAGAGCUGGGGACAUGUUUGCCUCUGAGCUAGAGCUGUGCGGUUAUCAUGCUGCCUGAUAAUGCCCAUCUUGGGUCUUCUAUGUCCUGCAUCUCUAGGAGUAAUCCUCAGCCCCAUCGCGAGAAUUCAGGGAGGCUGAUCCCACUCUGAUUCCACAGAUGGACAUAUGGCCCAGGCAGGCCCAGCCAAUGACAGCUCUCUAGCUCUUGCACUACCAUUUGCUCAAGGAUUGGUCUGCCACUCAAGCCAGAUGGAAUUCCUCUUGGGAUUCUUCCUGGAAAAUCAAGAAAAAGAUACUGUCUUUACUGAGAUUGACUGUCAGGACAGUGAGAACCUGGAGCUGCCAAGGACCAUUCUUACUACCAUACCGGACGAGGCUGCCUGAAAGAAGCCGACACCAGAGGAAUGCAGAGCCGAGAGAUAAAGAAAAAGAGACGGAUUCCUGAAGACAUAUUUGAACCCCUGCUUCCUGCUGUGUGCCUGAAACCUGAAGAGUCACACUUCAGCUUCCCAGUUACAGGAGCCAAACAAUUCCCCAUUGACUGCAGCAAGUAUGGUUGGGGAUUCUCUCGCUUUCUUUUUUUUUUUUUUUUUUUUGAGAUGGAGUCUCGCUUUGUCGCCCAGGCUGGAGUGCAGUGGCGCAAUCUCAGCUCACUGCAACCUCCACCUCCCGGGGCCAAGUGAUUCUCCUGCCUCAGCCUCCUGAGUAGCUGAGAUUACAAGUGCUGCCACCACGCCCAGCUGAUUUUUGUAUUUUUAGUAGAGAUGAGGUUUCACCAUGUUUGCCAGGCUGUUCUUGAACUCCUGACCUCAGGUGAUCUGCCCACCUCAGCCUCCCAAAGUGCUGGGAUUACAGGCAUGAGGCACUGCACCCAGCCUCUUACUUUAAAUCAUACUGAUUGUACUGGAUUGAACAGUGUCCCUGCAAAUUCAUGAGGUUCCACCUGGAACCUCAGAAUGUGAUCUUAUUUGGAAAUAGGGUCCUUUUUAUUUUUUAUUUUUAAGAGACAGAGUCUUGGCCUAUUGCCCAGGCUGGAGGGCAGUGGUGCAAUCACAGCUCACUGCAGCCUUGAACGCUUGGACUCAAGUGAUCGUCCCACCUCAGCCUCCCAAGUAGCUGGGACUACAGGCAUGCACCACCGCACCUGGCUAAUUUUUAAAUUUUUUGUAAAGACAGGGUCUCACUAUGUUUCCCAGGCUGGUCUUGAUCUCCUGGCCUCAAGAGAUCCUCUUGCCUCGGCCUCCCAAAGUGCUGGGAUUACAGUCAUGAGCUCCAUGCUGAGCCACCACCAUGCCCAGCCUGGAAAGAAGGUCUUUGUGGAUGUGAUUCAUUAGAGAUCUUUUUUAUUUUUAUUUUUUAUUUUUUUUGAGACGGAGUUUCACUCUUGUUGCCCAGGCUGGAGUGUAAUGGUGCAAUCUUGGCUCACUGCAAUCUCCGCCUCCCAGGUUCAAGUGAUUCUCCUGCCUCAGCCUCCCAAGUAGCUGUGAUUACAGGCGUGUGCCACCACGCCCAGCUAAUUUUGUGUUUUUAGUAGAGAUGGGGUUUUACCAUGUUGGCCAGGCUAGUUUCGAACUCCUGACCUCAGGUGAUCCUCCUGCCUUGGCCUCCCCGAAGUGCUGGGAUUACAGGUGUGAGCCACCACAGCUGGACUUCAUUAAGGAUCUUGAGAGGAAAUCAUUCCAGAUUUAGGGUGGCCCUAAAUCCGAUGACUGGUGUCCUUAAGAGAGGACAAAGAGGGGCACGUGAAGAUGGAGGCAGAGACUGGAAUGAUGUUGCCACAUGCCAAGGAAUGUUGGGCCACCAGAAGCUGCAAGAGGCAAAGAAGAAUUCUUCCCUUACACUUUUGGAGAGAGCAUCGCCCUGUCAACUCCUUAACUUCAGACUUCUAGUCUUCGCAACUAUGAGAGAAUAAGUGCAUUUAAGCCAUGUUGUUACGGCAGCCCUAGCAGCCCUGGAAAAUGAAUACACUGAGUGCUCGGAUCCAGACCAGCAUAUGGAGCUGGUGAUCUUAUCUUGGGUUUCGUGAUGACUGUUUUCCACGUCUCCACCUUCUUCCCCAUGGCUGCACUGCACAUUUACUGUGGAUCUACACUAAGAUCUCCUCCAAAGGACAGGUAAAUGCGUGAUCACCUGAUCCCUCACCAAAGAGUAUGAGACAGAAAGAAUGGCAAGUGUUCUCUGGGAGCUGCCAAUGACCUGGUCCUCAGCAAAGGGAACAACCUGAAAUUCUCUCCUGUGGAAGACGUGUUGAAAGCCCAACUGAGAGACAGUGUUGGCUGAGGAGCCUAGUGAACUGGGGUCCACCUCUCCUGCUGGAGGCUCUGAAGUCGACCCUGGAGCAGCAGAGCCCCCUGAGGGUCCCACCUGCACAGCAUUGCUUUGGUUCACAGCCGCACUGACCUAACACCGCCAGCCUGAGGAAAGGAGGAUGGUCAGAGCGCCCUGCAGGGCUCACUGUGCUCCCUGGAAGGAAGCUUUGGAGCCUGGUGUUUACUAACCUGCACAGUGUGUGUCCCUGCGAAGAGGUCCCACGACAAAGUGUUCUCUCUCAUCAGAGCAGGGGAAAAGGCUGAGUUUCUAUCUCACAGAUACUGACUCACGUAGCUGAAACAAUUGCCCUCUCCAAGUCAGCUGCCAGAACGCUCAGAGAGAAAUCUGUGGGCCACCUCUUACAAAUGUAUAGGCGAUUCCACAGUUUGUGUACUAGCCUCCCCGUUACUUCUUUUGUAAAUAUUCAAUCUUAUUGUGUUGCAUAUAUUUAGGUAAAUGCUCUAAUUCCUUUUGGGACCAAGACAGGUUCAUACACAGGCACUAAAAAGGUGAGAAAACAAACAAACAAAAAAUCCUCACGUCAUCACAGAUUGGCUACUUUAAUGAUUCUGCCUUUAGUUUCCCUCCUAUCCCCAAAAAUUCUGUAUCAUAUCAUACUUGGAAUAUGAGUUUUCACAUUUACCAAAAUAAUAGGGUAUCUUAAUUUUUUUUUUUCUUGAAUCUCCUUUCAUGGCCAGCAUAGAGAGGUUUCUAGAAUGAACCCAAACUUGGGACUCGGGGCCCCUGGGCUCCUCCUGUAGCCAACUGCAGUGGAUGGUGGGUCCCCUUUGUUUGGGGGAUUUACAGCAAUUGUCUUAACGACAUGGACCUCUUUUGUGAAAGCUGCAGGCGUUCCCAGCAAAUGUUGGCUGCAAAUACACUAGCCGGGAUGUUGCCACGGUCACGGCCCUUCCUCGAACAAUCUAAAGCAUAUUUCUCUCUGUAUAUAUUUGUUUUUUUAGAUGCUUUAAAGCCUGGAAAACAAUCAUAGCUGAGGCCAUUUCUGAGAUGGCACUAAAAGAACCUACUCGGAGACAGAUAAAAAUAAUGAGAAUCUUUCUGUCAGGAAAGAUUUAGAAAAUAUCACUGGCAUUAUUAAAAUUUAAUUUUUUACUCCGCUUUUUGGUUCCCCUUUCCAGUGAUAAUGAGCAGGACUGCACACCUCCGCCUUGCUAGUACUUGUUUUGUGCAAUAAAUUCAGCCUUCCAGUCUGAAGACAUUUCAGACAACAGUUUUGACUGCUAUAGGCUUAUUUUUUACCCUGUGCUAUGCUUUGAGUCUUCCUAUAAAAACCAGUUCAUGAGAUAAUUUUCCACAAGGCCAGUGGAACUAAUAAAAAUCAAUUUUGCCCAACUGGUUCAGAGAAAUCUUGGGAAUAGCCAAGGCAGAACUGCAGAAAGGGGGAAAAAAAGGAUCAAUGUAUUCACUAAUGGUUUACUUGAUAGAGAACUAUCAAAUUAGCUGACAGGAGACGCUUGGCUGUAGGAAAUUUCCUUUCAGCCUAAACAGAAUGCCUUUUACAGGCCCAGGAAGAACUUUUCCCUCCCAGGGUUUGAAGAUACUCUAGUAUAGUGAUUCUUCCAAGGACUUGCCCACACCAGGGCCAACCUGGGGCCUGACAGAUGGUGGCCUCUGCUUGUCCAGAACCUCUUUUAUAUGAGAGGAGCCAGUUUUGUGAAGAGGUGGGCUGCAUUUUACUUGAAUUGCUCUUAGACCACGAGAUCAGUGGGUUGGGAAUUCAUCAGUUCACUUGGAUGCCUUAGGUUCUUGAGACCUUCUCACACCCCUUGCAGACACAUGACAGCCUUCUUUUUUUUUUUUUUUUUUGACGGAGUCUUGCUCUGGGGCCCAGGCUAGAGUGCAGUGGCUCAAUCUCGGCUCACUGCAACCUUGGCCUCUGGAGUUCAAGUGAUUCUCCUGCCUCAGCCUCCCGAGUAGCUGGGAUUACAGGUGUCUGCCACCAUGCCUGGCUAAUUUUUUUAAAAACAUUUUUUAGUAGAGACAGGGUUUCAUCGUGUUGGCCAGGCUGGUCUCGAACUCCUGACCUCAGGUGAUCUGCCCACCUUGGCCUCUCAAAGUGCUGGGACUACAGGGGGCAGCCACCGCGCGUGGCCCCGUGACAGCUUUUAGAUCCCCCAUAUUGGCUUCUUGGCAAUCCAAGUGGGAUUUCAAGGGGGCACCUCUUUUAUAAUCAGAACACAAGGCUUAACGACUGUCUAGCUUUCAUUAGUUCAAAACACUAGUUGAACUAACAGCAAGUCUUUGCACAGAAAGAAAAAGAACUGGAAGGAAACGCAGCCAAGUGUUAAUGGUGUUUAUACUCGGGUGGUGGGUGUUUUUUCUAUCUUUAUGUAUUUCUACACUUUCUUGAAUUACCGUAUCUUAUUACAUAUAUAAUAAUUAUUUAAAAUAAUGCUAAACUAAAAAUUCAGUAUAUUGAAUAAAAGAAACAUAAUAGACUAAUUUAUUCACAGUGUUAUAAGAGAGUAAGAGGGGGCUGGGCGCAGUGGCUCAUGCCUGUAAUUAAGCACUUUGGGAGGCCGAGGUGGGCGGAUCACCUGAGGUCAGGAGUUAGAGACUAGCCUGGCCAAUAUAUAGUGAAACCCUGUCUCUACUAAAAAUACAAAAAUUAGCUGGGUGCGCUGGCACAUGUCUGUAGUCUCAGCUACUUGGGAAGCUGAGGCAGAAGAAUUGCUUGAACCCAGGAGGCAGAGGCUGCAGUGAGCUGAGACUGUGCCAAUGCACUGCAGCCUGGGUGACAGAGCAAGACUGUCUCUCAGAAAAAAAAAAAAAAAAAAAGAGUAAUAGGGAAUGUGUAGGAGAAAAAAGAACAAGGGUAAAAAUUAUUUAAAAAUUUUUUUUAGUGACUUCUACUAUCCUAAGUCCUUCACUCAAAUUAUUUUAUUUAAUCCUCAUACCAAAUCUAUGGCAAAGGUGUCAAUGUUCCCAUUUUCCAGAGGAGGAGACUGAGGCUUAGAGAGUUAAGUUAGCCAAGAUCACACAGCUAGUUGGUGGAAAAGCUGGUAUUUAAAAUCGGAUCUGAUGUCAAAGACCACAUGCAAUACAACAGUGAGGAAAAUAACAAGUCACAGAAUGUCUUGCUUUCUAGCUGUAGUUCCAAACGGCUAUGAUGCCAGGUGAGUCACUUUGCAUUUAUGAUUAAAGUCAGGGACAACAACAUCUGUCCUUUUUUCCUAUCUCAUGGGUUCUUGUGAUGCUGAAAUUAGAUCACACGUGUAAAAGAAGAGAAAACGCAAUGUCCUCCUCAAAGGAAUAUGGUAAUAUGAUAAUAUUUCAUAUAAUAUCGGUGAGUUGAGGGUUGUCACGAAUGCUCUUUGGGUACUGAUAAUUUUCAAAGAAAAACUUAUACAAAAGCAGAAUUAUUAUUAAGACUAUAUUGAAUAAAUUUGUUUUUGAUGAUUCAGAAAGUUUAACAGAAUCUGACCCUAUCCUAGUCAUCAUUAGGACCACUAAUUUUCUUGCUGAUAAUAUAUUAUGUAAAAAGCAAGGGUUACAAAUAGUACGUAUAGUAUGAUCUGAAUUUUGCAAAAACUACAUAUAUAAAUGUAAAACAGAAAUCGGAAAGAUAUACAUUGAAAUGUAAAUAAUGAUUGUGUCUAGGCGUUGGGAUCAUAAUUUUAAUUUUUUAUUUAUUAUUUUAUUUUAUUAUUAUUUUUUAGAGGCAGAGUCUCACUCUGUUGCCCAGGCUGGAGUGCAACAGCGUGAUUAUAGCUCAUUGCAACCUCAACCUCCUGGGCUCAAGCAGUCCUCCCACCUCAGCCUCCUGAGUAGCUGGGACCACAGGCAUGCAUGACCACACCUGGCUAAUUUAUUUUUUGUAGCAAUGGGGUCUUACUCUACUGUCCAGGCCGGUCUCGAACUCCUGGCCUCAAGUGAUCUUCCCACCUAGCCUCCCACAGUGCUGGGAUUACAGGCAUGAGCCAAUGCGCCUGGCCAGGAUCAUGAUUUUUUAAAAAUCUCUGAUUUUUUGAAUUUUACAAUUUUUUUUUGCAUUUUGCAUUUUGAUUUGAAUUUUGCAAAUUUUGGGGUAAUAAAUAUGUACUGUUUCUAUAAUCAGAAAAUAUGAUCCAGCCCCCUCUUCCCCACAGUACAAAAACAUCACCUUUUUCCUUGAAUAAAAC
rnacentral:lncRNA from 1 species